CCUACGGGUGGCAGCAGUGAGGAAUAUUGGUCAAUGGACGAGAGUCUGAACCAGCCAAGUAGCGUGAAGGAUGACUGCCCUAUGGGUUGUAAACUUCUUUUAUAAAGGGAUAAAACGAGGCACGUGUGCCUUUUUGCAUGUACUUUAUGAAUAAGGAUCGGCUAACUCCGUGCCAGCAGCCGCGGUAAUACGGAGGAUCCGAGCGUUAUCCGGAUUUAUUGGGUUUAAAGGGAGCGUAGAUGGGUUGUUAAGUCAGUUGUGAAAGUUUGCGGCUCAACCGUAAAAUUGCAAUUGAUACUGGCAGUCUAGAGUACAGUUGAGGUAGGCGGAAUUCGUGGUGUAGCGGUGAAAUGCUUAGAUAUCACGAAGAACCCCGAUUGCGAAGGCAGCUUACUAAACUGUGACUGACAUUGAUGCUCGAAAGUGUGGGUAUCAAACAGGAUUAGAUACCCCAGUAGUC
rnacentral:rRNA from 1 species